rnacentral:rRNA from 1 species
UACGUAGGGCGCAAGCGUUAUCCGGAAUUAUUGGGCGUAAAAGAGCUCGUAGGCGGUUUGUCGCGUCUGCCGUGAAAGUCCGGGGCUCAACUCCGGAUCUGCGGUGGGUACGGGCAGACUAGAGUGAUGUAGGGGAGACUGGAAUUCCUGGUGUAGCGGUGAAAUGCGCAGAUAUCAGGAGGAACACCGAUGGCGAAGGCAGGUCUCUGGGCAUUAACUGACGCUGAGGAGCGAAAGCAUGGGGAGCGAACAGG